UACGUAGGUGGCAAGCGUUGUCCGGAUUUACUGGGUGUAAAGGGCGUGCAGCCGGGCCGACAAGUCAGAUGUGAAAUCCGCGGGCUUAACCCGCGAACUGCAUUUGAAACUAUUGGUCUUGAGUACCGGAGAGGUCAUCGGAAUUCCUUGUGUAGCGGUGAAAUGCGUAGAUAUAAGGAAGAACACCGGUGGCGAAAGCGGCUCUCUGGCCUGUAACUGACACUGAGGCUCGAAAGCGUGGGGAGCAAACAGG
rnacentral:rRNA from 1 species